rnacentral:rRNA from 1 species
UGCAUGUCUAAGUAUAAGCAAUUAUACGGCGAAACUGCGAAUGGCUCAUUAUAUAAGUUAUCGUUUAUUUGAUAAUACUUUACUACUUGGAUAACCGUGGUAAUUCUAGAGCUAAUACAUGCUAAAAAUCCCGACUUCGGAAGGGUUGUAUUUAUUAGAUUAAAAACCAAUGCCCUCUGGGCUCUCUGGUGAAUCAUAAUAACUUGUCGAAUCGCAAGGCCUUGUGCCGGCGAUGGCUCAUUCAAAUUUCUUCCCUAUCAACUUUCGAUGUUUGGGUAUUGGCCAAACAUGGUGGCAACGGGUAACGGAGGGUUAGGGCUCGACCCCGGAGAAGGAGCCUGAGAAACGGCUACUACAUCCAAGGAAGGCAGCAGGCGCGCAAAUUACCCAAUCCCGACACGGGGAGGUAGUGACAAUAAAUACUGAUACAGGGCUCUUAUGGGUCUUGUAAUCGGAAUGAGUACAAUUUAAAUCCCUUAACGAGGAACAAUUGGAGGGCAAGUCUGGUGCCAGCAGCCGCGGUAAUUCCAGCUCCAAUAGCGUAUAUUAAAGUUGUUGUGGUUAAAAAGCUCGUAGUUGAACCUUGGGCCUGGCUGGCCGGUCCGCCUCACCGCGUGCACUGGUCCGGCCGGGCCUUUCCCUCUGUGGAACCUCAUGCCCUUCACUGGGUGUGACGGGGAAACAGGACUUUUACUUUGAAAAAAUUAGAGUGCUCCAGGCAGGCCUAUGCUCGAAUACAUUAGCAUGGAAUAAUAAAAUAGGACGUGUGGUUCUAUUUUGUUGGUUUCUAGGACCGCCGUAAUGAUUAAUAGGGACAGUCGGGGGCAUCAGUAUUCAAUUGUCAGAGGUGAAAUUCUUGGAUUUAUUGAAGACUAACUACUGCGAAAGCAUUUGCCAAGGAUGUUUUCAUUAAUCA